rnacentral:lncRNA from 1 species
AACUAAAAAUUUAAAACUUUAAGUUAGCUUAAGUAUAAUCAAAGGAUCGACACCAGUCAUACUCUAAGAGGGCAUUGCAAAUUCAAAACCUUUUACAAUGUUAUGUAUGUUUCUAGUUGGUUUCAACUUGUGUUUUAUUAAAUACGCAAUUUUAGAAAUACAUUCUUGCAUUGUAUGUCAAAAUUUAACAUCCUAUGUUUAUGAAGAAAGUCAUAGUUUGAAACCUUCAAAUCUCAAGAAUUUAUUAAAGCUUUCUCUUCCAAAAGAUGUAUGUUUGCAACCAGAUAAACAAGCUGCAUUUAAAUUGAAACAUUUUGAACAAGUAUAUGAUGAUAAAAAUUCAUGGUUAUCAUAUGUUGCAUAUUUUUCAAAAAAAGUUAAAUCAAUAUUUUCCGAAGAGUGUCUACUAUGUUCAAAGAAAAAAAAGAUUUUAUCUGUUCAUUGCAGUAAUCCUUUUUAUUCAGACGCUCUAACAAAGUUAAUUUAUGGUUCUUCAGUUAAAUUUAAUUUAAAAGAUACUAUGUGUUAUAUACCUCAAAGUGCUAAAAACUCUAAAAAAAAGCAUUCAAGCAUGUUAGUGAAUA